ACAAGGAAAAAGGACAGAGGAAGAUAAAGAAGAAGGUCACUAUGAGGCAGGAUGGACCAUGAGCACAUGGCCAAGAGAAGCUCACCCUGAGGACGAACAUGGAGGAGAGCAAGCUGGGAGAGACUCAAAAUAUACAGUGUGGCUGCAUCAUUUUUCAAUUAAGCAAAUGGUUUUGGAGAGCUGGGAGUGUGGUCGGAUGUUAGUUCACUUGCCUAGCGCGUGCAAGACCCUGAAUUGAAGCUUCGUCACCACAACAACCAACCAACCAAACAAACAAACACCAGGAUAAUUUUAAAUGGAUACAAAGCAAAGCUGGAUAACCGGAAGCGGAAGAAGAUGCAGCAAGAGAGAAACAGCGGACCCUCUGGGGAUCAGGAAGAAGCAACGGCCCCAGCUUUUCCAGUUUGACUGUGAUUGCCCAUUUUUGUGAAUGCCGUCUCACAUUUAUGCCGUACUUUGUCCAGCUUUCUAAAAGCCACACAUUGACAGGAAGUAUAAAACAUGCUUUGGACCAAAAACUGAAAAUAGUUGUCCUCCUAUAACUACAGAAAUGCUGAGACCAUAAGGUGACUGCAAGCAGAUGUCUCUGCAGAAGUAUAAAACCCAC
rnacentral:lncRNA from 1 species